rnacentral:lncRNA from 10 species
ACACCUAUAGUCCUAGCCACUCAGGAGAAACUCUUGAGCUCAGGAGCUUGAGGCUGCAGUGAAAUAUGAUCAUGCCACUGCACUCCAGCCUGGGCGACAGAGGGAAACUCUGUCUCUUAAAAAAUGCUUCAGGAGCUCGGGCAGGGGUGGGGGUGGGGGUUAGUUAGGGAAGGGCGGUUGAGGCUUGAAAGGUGUGAAUUAACUCAAAGAAGGGAAAGAAGGGCUUGCCAAGUGGGGCCCUAGAGAAAAUGAGCCA